ACACAUACACACAUACACACAUACACACACACACAUAUAUAUAUAUAAAACAUCUGUUAUAAAUGAAUUCGUGUCAUCUAUAUUUUAUUGUACUUAUCUCUCUUUCUCUGUGUGUGUGUGUAUAUAUAUAUAUAUACAGGGAGAAUUUACAAAAAAAAAAAACCAAAACAAAAGACGAAGACAGGUGGUGUACAAGACAAACAGAUGUAUUAGUAUAACGCUCAGGAAUAGAAAAAAGUCUUUUACGUUUCGAGCCUACGCUCUUCUACAGAAGGGACACAGAAUAUAUAUAUAUAUAUAUAUAUAUAUAUAUAUAUAUAUAUAUAUACCUCAAUGCAUAAGUGAACCAAUUGCCUGAGUGGGAGUCUUCAGAAUUAGACAGAAGUCAUUGGCCGCACAGAAAUAACAAAUAGCGUCAGGAAGAUUCCGGAUUCUUUAUUAGAACGGGCUAAUGUAGAGCAUGCAACGGGGAAAAUAGAACCAUAAUAGGUCCAAAAGCCCAAACCCGUUCUAUGUGUGGUGAUAUUAGAUGAGUUGGUCUGUUCAGAUCUAGCAUCGCUACUUACGUUCUAAAACAUGCUGAAGGCCUCAAGUUGAAUACAACAAACUUGUAGCGUCUAAUCUAUUAUGAAAUCUAUGACAUGCCGAUCUCACUUACAAGACAUAUGAAAGCAUACAAUCAAGGUACUAUACAGGAGCGCCUGAUUCAACUCAGGAAGACGUAUGCUGCAUCUGCCGCAAGAAAUACAAGUCAUUCCCUUGCUUUAAUAGCAAUUGUUGGGUCCAUGAUCAUUGCAAAACCUCACAGAAACAUGAUAGCUUGUCAGUGAUGGUGAAAUUCAUCUUACCAGUGCAAAGCCAUCAUACAUGUAUAUGCAUUAUUGUAUUAUAUACAUGAGCAUAUGUACAUGAAUAUAUAUAUAUAUAUAUAUAUAUAUAUAUAUAUAUAUAUAUAUAUAUGUGUGUAUGUAUGUGUAUAUAUAUAUAUAUAUAUAUAUAUAUGUAUAUAUAUAUAUGUAUAUAUGUAUGUAUGUAUAAAUAGAUAGAUAUAGAUACAUACAUACCAAAGUGUAUACUAAUCUAAUAGAAAUGCUGGUAUUUAUAUGUGUUUACAUGCAUAUAUAUCAUAUAUUAUAUAUUUAUAAAUAUAUAUAUAAAUAUAUGCAUGUUUGUAUGUAUGUGCAUAUAUAUAUAUCAUAUAUCAUAUAUCAUAUAUAUAUAUAUAUAUAUAUAUAUAUAUAUAUAUAUAUAUAUAUGCAUGUGUGUAUGUAUGUACAUAUAUAUAUAUAUAUGUACAUAUACAAAUGCACGCAAAUGCUCACAUAUAUAAGUACCUAUGUAUGAAUGUAUAUAUAUUGGAUUUGUAAAAUUUAGCCGAAAAUAUAACAUUUUAUUCGUGCAUUCUUUCAUUACUCUCCGAUACUGGUUUUCUCAUUAUCAUGUACUUUUAUCCUUCUUUUCAUUGCCUAAUUCUUACAUGCUUUUUGUAGUUGUAUAUCUCGCCAAGUAUCGUCUCUUUACCAAAGAUUAUUUGAAAUCCAACACUGAAAUAGUUGCUAUUUAUGUUCCUUGUUCGUUUGCUCUGUCCCGAAUUAGCCUUCACUGAUUUGUCAGUUUUAAUGCCAGGAUUCACAGCAAUCCAGGCAUACGUUCAUUUAUCAUCACACACAAAAGCACAAACACACACACAAAUACACACAUAUAUACACACAUAUAUACAUUAAUACAUACAUAUGUAUGUACCAAUGUUGUCCCUAAUUCUACGUUCUUUCCUAAUUUGAACCCUCUACUAUAAAAACUGGUGAGAGAUUUCAAGGUAACCACGCAAACUUAACAGUAAAAAACAACAACGCUGUUGUCGUUGCUAAUAUUGUGUGUGUUUAUUCACAUGGUUUAUGUAACUCAUAAUCACCAUACAAUCGAUGAACCCCGAUGUCACGUGACACUUUCAGAUGGAUGUCUUUCCAUCGCAUUACGGUAGAUGCUGUUGCUAAAAUAUCCUUAUGGCCUCGUCUCUCGACCUGGAACUAGUACGGUAAUAAAAAAAAAAUAUAUAUGUAUAUAUAUGUAUAUAUAUAUAUUAUAUAUGUAUAUAUGUAUAUAUGUAUAUAUGUAUAUAUAUAUAUAUAUAUAUAUAUAUAUAUAUAUAUAUAUAUAUAUACAUAUAUACAUAUAUAUAUAUAUACAUAUAUAUAUAUGUAUGUAUAUACAUAUAUAUAUAUAUAUAUAUAUGUAUACAUAUGUGUGUGUAUAUAUAUAUGCAAAUAUAUAUAUAUAUAUAUAUAUAUAUAUUUAUAAAUGUAUAUAAAUAUAUAUAUAUACGCACAUAUAAAUACUUAUGUAUGCGUGUAUAUAUAUGCACAAUUAUGCAUGUAUAUAUGUAAAGGUUUAUAAAUCUAUUCUAUAUAUAUAUGUAAAAUAUCGAUCUAUCUCUUUCUCUCUCCCUCCCUCCCCCAUCUCUCUCCGUAUACAUAUACACAUAUAUUACUGUGUCUGGGGAGAGUCAUUCUGUUUUAAUACUUUAUUAAUUAAUACACACGCUGGUUCGAUUUCCACUCAUUUACUUAUUUUUUCUAAAAUUUUUCCUUGCUUCUUAGAACAUCUUCAAUAGUCAUUGACUCUGUCCAUUAUCGGAGAUGUCGUCUUUUUGUAUGUUUGUUUGUGCGCAUGUGUGCAUCAGUGUGCAUGUGUAUGUAUGUUUGUAUGUAUGUAUACGCGUAUUUGUGUAUGCAUAUAUACAUGUAUGUGUGCGUAUGUGGAGGCGCAAUGGCCCAGUGGUUAGGGCAGCGGACUCGCGGUCAUAGGAUCGCGGUUUCGAUUCCCAGACCGGGCGUUGUGAGUGUUUAUUGAGCGAAAACACCUAAAGCUCCACGAGGCUCCAGCAGGGGGUGGUGGUGAUCCCUGCUGUACUCUUUCACCACAACUUUCUCUCACUCUUACUUCCUGUUUCUGUUGUACCUGUAUUUCAAAGGGCCGGCCUUGUCACUCUCCGUGUCACGCUGAAUAUCCCCGAGAACUACGUUAAGGGUACACGUGUCUGUGGAGUGCUCAGCCACUUAUACGUUAAUUUCAUGAGCAGGCUGUUCCGUUGAUUCGGAUCAACUGGAAUCCUCAUCGUCGUAACCGACGGAGUGCUUCCAUCCAUGUAUGCGUAUGUACGUUUGUAUGUAUGUAUUAUAUAUUCUACAUAUUCAUGUGUUUGUGUGUUCAUGUUUGUGUGCUUAUGUGACAUAUUAUAUAUAUAUUAUGUAGUUGUGUUUCUUUUGCUACAUUCAUAAUAAGCUGAAACAUGUAUCUUGUCAAUAAAAACGCAAACACGUCAGCGCUGCAGUUAAUCAUUUUAACCGGCGUGUCAACUAUUCCGCCCUCUUCCUGCCUUAAAGGCCUGGUAAUAAUGCCGCAAAAAAAUUUGAUCAAGAUGAUUCUAACGACAGCGGCUUCAAAAUCUGGCUCAAAGCAGGUAAUUUUAGGGUGCUGGGAUCACUUUAUCGAUCUAAAAGAAAAUUAUGAUUUAAGUUUGCAUAUUUUCCUAAUAGUUAAAGAUAUAAUGGGAAGAAAAGUUACAUAUUAUAUAUAUGUAAGGAUUAAUUAAAUUCGUUCGGUAGAUACAGGCAUGAAUAGAUAUCCACCUAAAAAUCAAAACACUUGUUUCCACAUCUGUAUAUUUACCGACAUAUCAGUCGAUAGUUAUUUAUUUUUAUCUGCAAAUAUAUGUAUGUAUAUAUAUGUAUAUGUAUGUGUAUAUAUAUGUUGAAUCGCUAGCCUCUGCACGCAUUUUUUUUUCUCUCCUUGUUUCUUUCUGUGUUUCUUUUCUGUGUAUUUUUCUGUUGAAGAGCGUAGGCUCGAAACGUAAAAGACUUGUUUUAUUUAUAUUCCUGAGCGCCAUACUAAUACAAUUGUUUGUUUGUAUUCCACCUGCCUUCGUCUUUUGUUUAUUUUCAUAAAGCUUCCCGUUAUAUAUAUAUAUAUAUAUAUAUAUAUAUAUAUGAGACAAAAGUAUAAAUACGAGACGGUCCCAAUUUUUGGUAUUCCUUUGUAUAUAUAUAUAUAUAUGUAUAUAUACAUAUACAUACAUCCAUACAUAUAUAUAUAUAUAUAUAUAUAUAUAUAUAUAUAUAUAUAUUCUUUUACACGUUUCAGACAUUUGAUCGCGGCUAUGCUGGAGUACCGCUUUAAAGGUUUUCAGUCGAAAAAAUCGCACCCCGCCAGUACUUAUUGUUUGUAAGCCUACAACUUACUCUAUCUGUUACUUUGUCGAACCGCUAGAAUACUGGGACAUAAACACACCAACAUCGGUUGUCAAGCGUUGGUGGUGGGCCAACCACAGACACAGACACAAAUACACACAUAUGUAUACACACACACACACACACACAUGACGGACUUCUUUCAGUUUCCGUCUACCGUUUCCACUCAGAAGGCUUUGGUCCGCCCGAGGUUAUAUAAGAAGACACUUUCCCAAGGUGCCACGCAGUAGGACUGAACCCGGAACCAUGUGGUUGGGAAGCAAGCUUCUUGCCAAAUAACCACGCCUAUAUAUAUGUCUAUAAGGCGACGAGCUGGCAUGCCGAAUAAAAUACUCAGCUGCAUUUUGUCCGUGUUUGCGUUCUGAGUUCAAAUUUGCCCCGAAGACGACUUUACUUUUCCUCAUUUCGGGGUUGAUAAAAUAUGUACCAGUCAAACACCUGGAGUGGUUGUAAUUGACUUAAACUCCUCCCCUGAAAUUACUGGCAUUGUGUCAAAAUUUGAAACCGAUAUUACUAACAGAUCUGUAAAAGUGGCUCAGAUAAUUAACGCGCUGAGGAUUAAUUAAUUUCGUUCAUUAAUGACCGAGUUCAAAUGCUACCUGUCGGCUUCAACAUCUCAUUUCAUUCUGCCAAUGGUCUGCAGGAAAUAUUUACUGUAUUGAGUUCUACUGCUGCUCCAACACAUCAUCUAUGCAUAGAGUAUAAUAUAAUAUGAAAGAUACACAGACACACAGACACACACACACAGACACA
rnacentral:lncRNA from 1 species